rnacentral:rRNA from 1 species
UACAGAGGGUGCAAGCGUUGUUCGGAAUUAUUGGGCGUAAAGCGCGUGUAGGCGGCUUUGCAAGUCGGGUGUGAAAGCCCUCAGCUCAACUGAGGAAGUGCGCCCGAAACUGCAGAGCUUGAGUGCCGGAGAGGGUGGCGGAAUUCCCCAAGUAGAGGUGGAAUUCGUAGAUAUGGGGAGGAACACCGGUGGCGAAGGCGGCCACCUGGACGGUAACUGACGCUGGGACGCGAAAGCGUGGGGAGCAAACAGG